UCAAACACACAGUCGAGGGUACUACGUCAUAUUGCAUGUGUUUUCUUCACCAAAUAUGGGAUUAGGUAAACACAGCCUUAUGUUGUUACACUACACUACGUGUGACAAUUUUAUGUUAUCGGGCAUAUGUUUAUGAGAAUCAGAUAUGCAGCCGUCACAGCCUGCUGAUGAAGAUCCUCAGCUUAUUAUACAGAGGUCAGGCUUGAGCUAUGUGCUGAUUCAAAAGAUGCUAAUGACAGUGGAUAAUCCAUUCUGAGUUGUUCUAGGAUCAUUCACCAACGUUUCAAAACACUGAUGGAAUUGAAGGCAGUACAUAUACUGAUGUCUGGCCUGUGAUUUCAAGUAUAGACUAUAAUUGAUGUACCUCCUCCUGAUGUAUCUCCAUGAAAAAAUAUAUCUACCAUGUGAAAGGAGCAAGCUGCAAGAUAUACUGUGGAAGUGGGGGCCUAUGUAAAAAACAUUUUAUUUAAAGAAUAUAAGAAAUCUGACACUAAACUACUGAAAAGGUGCACAGGGGACAUUUUUGUGUGUAUAGACUUUCAUCAAGAUUCUGAGAAAGUUGAUUUAUUAAACAGAAAUAGUUAUAUUGUGUCUUCAAAGCUGAAAAAGAUUAAGAUCUUAGGAAACAUUAGGACUCAAGAAAAGUAAUGGGGUAAUGAAACUGCAGUGUUCAACAUUUAAAUUGUUUUUUGUUUUUUUUUUCACUACAUUUUGUGAAGAGGGUUCCAUCACAAGAUGUGACAUAUUGGUAAGAAUGAGAUGUAGUUUAUGAAAAAAAGUAUUUUGCUUUAAAUGUGUAGACUUUAAGUUACAUAAAAAAUCAAAGCUGUAACAAUAAAGCUUGAUUUAAAAAAACUAGCCAACAUGUAAUUGUCACACUUUCUUGGGCGCACAGGGGACACAAUUAGCUAUAUAAUUUAAUAUAACUUUAACCAUUAGGCCCUUGCUAAAUUUCUAUAAUGGACUUGUCCAUUUUACAAUUUGGACAGUAUUAUUAAGUGUUAAAAAGGGUGCUAACCAAAAGAUUCUGACUGAAUGGCGCACAGUGCAGAUGAAGAUCAGACUGCACUAAUAUGCAGGCUGAUCAUGAUCUACACUUGUCGCAAAGGUAGGACCAACCAUGAACAGCAUGAUAAG
rnacentral:lncRNA from 1 species